UUAAGCGACUAAGCGUACACGGUGGAUGCCCUGGCAGUCAGAGGCGAUGAAGGACGUGCUAAUCUGCGAUAAGCGUCGGUAAGGUGAUAUGAACCGUUAUAACCGGCGAUUUCCGAAUGGGGAAACCCAGUGUGUUUCGACACACUAUCAUUAACUGAAUCCAUAGGUUAAUGAGGCGAACCGGGGGAACUGAAACAUCUAAGUACCCCGAGGAAAAGAAAUCAACCGAGAUUCCCCCAGUAGCGGCGAGCGAACGGGGAGCAGCCCAGAGCCUGAAUCAGUGUGUGUGUUAGUGGAAGCGUCUGGAAAGGCGCGCGAUACAGGGUGACAGCCCCGUACACAAAAAUGCACAUGCUGUGAGCUCGAUGAGUAGGGCGGGACACGUGGUAUCCUGUCUGAAUAUGGGGGGACCAUCCUCCAAGGCUAAAUACUCCUGACUGACCGAUAGUGAACCAGUACCGUGAGGGAAAGGCGAAAAGAACCCCGGCGAGGGGAGUGAAAAAGAACCUGAAACCGUGUACGUACAAGCAGUGGGAGCACGCUUAGGCGUGUGACUGCGUACCUUUUGUAUAAUGGGUCAGCGACUUAUAUUCUGUAGCAAGGUUAACCGAAUAGGGGAGCCGAAGGGAAACCGAGUCUUAACUGGGCGUUAAGUUGCAGGGUAUAGACCCGAAACCCGGUGAUCUAGCCAUGGGCAGGUUGAAGGUUGGGUAACACUAACUGGAGGACCGAACCGACUAAUGUUGAAAAAUUAGCGGAUGACUUGUGGCUGGGGGUGAAAGGCCAAUCAAACCGGGAGAUAGCUGGUUCUCCCCGAAAGCUAUUUAGGUAGCGCCUCGUGAAUUCAUCUCCGGGGGUAGAGCACUGUUUCGGCAAGGGGGUCAUCCCGACUUACCAACCCGAUGCAAACUGCGAAUACCGGAGAAUGUUAUCACGGGAGACACACGGCGGGUGCUAACGUCCGUCGUGAAGAGGGAAACAACCCAGACCGCCAGCUAAGGUCCCAAAGUCAUGGUUAAGUGGGAAACGAUGUGGGAAGGCCCAGACAGCCAGGAUGUUGGCUUAGAAGCAGCCAUCAUUUAAAGAAAGCGUAAUAGCUCACUGGUCGAGUCGGCCUGCGCGGAAGAUGUAACGGGGCUAAACCAUGCACCGAAGCUGCGGCAGCGACGCUGAUGCGUUGUUGGGUAGGGGAGCGUUCUGUAAGCCUGCGAAGGUGUGCUGUGAGGCAUGCUGGAGGUAUCAGAAGUGCGAAUGCUGACAUAAGUAACGAUAAAGCGGGUGAAAAGCCCGCUCGCCGGAAGACCAAGGGUUCCUGUCCAACGUUAAUCGGGGCAGGGUGAGUCGACCCCUAAGGCGAGGCCGAAAGGCGUAGUCGAUGGGAAACAGGUUAAUAUUCCUGUACUUGGUGUUACUGCGAAGGGGGGACGGAGAAGGCUAUGUUGGCCGGGCGACGGUUGUCCCGGUUUAAGCGUGUAGGCUGGUUUUCCAGGCAAAUCCGGAAAAUCAAGGCUGAGGCGUGAUGACGAGGCACUACGGUGCUGAAGCAACAAAUGCCCUGCUUCCAGGAAAAGCCUCUAAGCAUCAGGUAACAUCAAAUCGUACCCCAAACCGACACAGGUGGUCAGGUAGAGAAUACCAAGGCGCUUGAGAGAACUCGGGUGAAGGAACUAGGCAAAAUGGUGCCGUAACUUCGGGAGAAGGCACGCUGGCGGUAGGUAAAGUCCCUCGCGGACGGCGCUGAAGCCAGUCGAAGAUACCAGCUGGCUGCAACUGUUUAUUAAAAACACAGCACUGUGCAAACACGAAAGUGGACGUAUACGGUGUGACGCCUGCCCGGUGCCGGAAGGUUAAUUGAUGGGGUUAGCGCAAGCGAAGCUCUUGAUCGAAGCCCCGGUAAACGGCGGCCGUAACUAUAACGGUCCUAAGGUAGCGAAAUUCCUUGUCGGGUAAGUUCCGACCUGCACGAAUGGCGUAAUGAUGGCCAGGCUGUCUCCACCCGAGACUCAGUGAAAUUGAACUCGCUGUGAAGAUGCAGUGUACCCGCGGCAAGACGGAAAGACCCCGUGAACCUUUACUAUAGCUUGACACUGAACAUUGAGCCUUGAUGUGUAGGAUAGGUGGGAGGCUUUGAAGUGUGGACGCCAGUCUGCAUGGAGCCGACCUUGAAAUACCACCCUUUAAUGUUUGAUGUUCUAACGUUGACCCGUAAUCCGGGUUGCGGACAGUGUCUGGUGGGUAGUUUGACUGGGGCGGUCUCCUCCUAAAGAGUAACGGAGGAGCACGAAGGUUGGCUAAUCCUGGUCGGACAUCAGGAGGUUAGUGCAAUGGCAUAAGCCAGCUUGACUGCGAGCGUGACGGCGCGAGCAGGUGCGAAAGCAGGUCAUAGUGAUCCGGUGGUUCUGAAUGGAAGGGCCAUCGCUCAACGGAUAAAAGGUACUCCGGGGAUAACAGGCUGAUACCGCCCAAGAGUUCAUAUCGACGGCGGUGUUUGGCAC
rnacentral:rRNA from 1 species